GGUAUGGAAACCUACUAAGUGCCAACUUUCAAAUUCAGAGAAACCCUGGAAUUAAAAAUGGGCAAUCCUGAGCCAAAUCCUUUAUUUACGAGAAUAAACAAAGGUUCAGAAUCAGAAAGCGAAAAGAAAAAAAAAAAGGAUAGGUGCAGAGACUCAAUGGAAGCUGUUCUAACAAAUGGGGUUGACUGCCUUUGCAAACCCUUCUCUCGAAAUUCUAGAAAGGAUAAAGGAUAAACAUAUAUACAUAUGUAGACGUAAUGAAAAAUUAUCUCAAAAAAGACGGUCCGAACUCCUAUUUUUUUAUAUCAAAAAAAAGAAUUGUUGUGAAUCGAUUCCAAGUUCAAGUUGAAGAAAGAAUCAAACGAAUAGAAUAUUCAUUAAUCAAAUCAUUCACCCCAUAGGCUGAAUCUGAUAAAUCUUUUGCAAAACUGAUUAAUCGGACGAGAAUAAAGAUAGAGUCCCGUUCUACAUGUCAAUAUCAAUACCCGACAACAAUGGAAAUUUAUAGUAAGAGGAAAAUCCGUCGACUUUAAAAAUCGUGAGGGUUCAAGUCCCUCUAUCCCCA
rnacentral:ncRNA from 1 species